UAUUACGGUUUUACAUAACAAUAAAACCGAUAUUAUGUGCCGAGAAGGAAAACAUACAGCAUUGUAUUAUGAAGAAGCAGUGUGUACUUAGCUUAAAUUCCUUGUCUAUGUCCAACCAUAGACAGUCAAUUUAGUUCCAUCUUUAGCCGCUAGGUGCUGCCAGCAAGUAUAAAGGAAGCGCAGCCAUCUUUGAUCUUCAUAGUCUUCACCAGGAAGAACUUCCUGCAAUGCUGUAUGUUUUCCUUCUCGGCACAUAAUAUCGGUUUUAUUAUGUAAAACCGUAAUAUUGAUGUGCCUUUGGAAAACAUACAGCAUUGUAUUAUGAAGACGUGUUUGUUAUCUGCUGGUGAAAUUAUUAAGCACAACGCUAUGAUGAAAUAGAAAGUCGACAGCGCUGCUUUAUGCAGAAGGAUUGUUUUACAGGCAAAAUUUUCUUUAUGAAAAAGAAGAGAAAAAAGAGAAAAAAAAGAAAACAGAAUUUGGCAACAUCUGCAGACUUAGAAUCAAUUUUAAAACUGUAGCACCAUAUGCACCAUCUUCUAGUUGCUGGUAAGUAUGCUGGCAAAGUGGAUUGACACCAGCUUAUUUUCAAUAAAUCUUCUCCUGUGUA